AUGCCCGGUUUUCAGGAGACGUGGAAUGAGGAUCACAACCAUGUUGAGCCCUACCAGGUGCUACACCACAAGCUCAAGAAGACUAGCAUCAGACUAAAUGCUCUUUUCUCCAAUGCGGAAGUUCAACUCCAUAUGGCCCUGAAGAUAAUUAUUUGCCUUGACAUUGGACAAGAAUCUCGAACCUUGAGCCCGGCAGAGCUUGACCUUCGAAGGAGGCUCAAGCGGCGGGUGGUUGGCUUGGUUAUGUUUGAGAAGGCUAGAAAUGGGCAAAACUCAAGAAUCACAAAUAUCAAAGGAGGAGAUGCAAAUACAAGAUUCUUCCACCUAAGACAUAUUCCCGUCCCAGCUUGUGAUCUCAAUGACAUCGGAGCUCUUUUUACCAUGGACGAGGCUAGGCAUGCGGUAUUUGAUUCUGCAAAGUUUGGACGGCCGAUUGACUUCAUCGUAGGGGAUGGCCAAAUUUCGUCAAGGCACGGAUCGGCUUGGGCGAUAUUAGGACAAGUGAUUGGCCGACUAUAUAUGGUCGUUGUCAAAGAUUGGUGGAACAAGAUCGUCGUCCUCGCGAUGAAUAGCCCCCCUCCUUAUGCUUAUUUCCUCGGAGCUUUGCAAGGAGAGGAACGCUAUGGUCUUCUGGAACAUCUCCACUCCUUCGAUGAUCAUUAUCAACAAGUACUAGCAUCGUUAUCCAUCCCAGCUAUAGCUGCCUGUCCGGCUGAAAUUCUUGGCCCGCCCUAUUUUCCGAUCCCCGUUCCGCUUGCAGUUGCAGGGAAGAAGGGCCUGCACAGGGGCACAGGCGGGUCCCCGCCAUUUUGGAAACGAGCCCAGCUCCACGCAAGCGCUCUGCUCCCCGUCGCAUCGCAUCUCAUCUCAUCUCCCCUGCUUCGUCUCUCUCUCUCUCUCUCUCUCGAGCUGUACUCCUCUUUUCUCGCAUGGCCGGAGCGAAGGACCUCGCUAAUCCGUGCCCCUGCUGGCGUGCAUGCAGUGCAAUGUGAAGGAGGGAGGGAGGGAGGGAGGUUAGGCAGGCAUGCGUCGCUGUCUCUGCCCCCAGCCCUUGUGCCCUCCUGCCGCCUCUCUCUCCUCCCAACUCUUGUGCUCCCCCCUCUCCCUCCCGCUGGCUCUGACGCCGCUGCACGAAGCCUUUAA
rnacentral:rRNA from 1 species